UUGAACAAAAAGGAAUAUGAACAAGAAACUAACAAAUUGCAGGAUUACGUACCUGUUUUCAUUUGCAUCCCAAUUUCCAAUUCUAUUAUGCACUAUCGACAUUCUAUCGCAAGGUUUAUGGACUGCCUCGCAUUCUAGCAUAGCUGAAAUUUACAUUUCAUUAAUAUUCAAAGAACCACCGCUUGCGAUCGAAUGAUAUAAUAAUUAGUAAAUCAAUGUAUGAUCCGAAAAUAAAUUUGGACCUUGUCGUUUUAUUUGUGAUAAUGAAAAAUAAAAGGUUGCAUUAAGGAUUAGAGACAGCAAGCUCAGGCACUGUUUGUCGACUACUUUCCAUCACUCGGAUAUUUUAAGAACGACUUGAAAUAUCGACCUGCAAUUUGGGACAGCUUUCAAGAAUUUUCAUCGUUCGGAUAUUCAUUGAAAGUACACUCCCUUCAUUUCAAAAACAUGGUUGAAAAGUAAGCUUACUUACCGGAAUGUACUGUGAGUCGAGUAUUGACGGUGGCACAGUAACCUUCUAUAACUCUUAAUAUAAUUGCAUCUUCCUCAAAGAGGCGCUCAUCUGAAUGGGAACGUAAAAAAGAGGUCAAGUGGAAGGGUCGUCAAUUGCAUCCAUCAAUUUACUAACAAUACUCACUACAAAUUCGCACGGAACCAGCGGAGUCCGACAAAUCCGUUUUGCCAAAGUUUUUAUUGCAGGAAUAAAGAGGAGGGGCUGGCCGCAGCGAGGCAAGAGACCAAGGUGCUUUAAUCCCUGGUGAGUGGAAGUUCUCCAUCCCCAUCCGUAUUUGUUUUCCAUUCAGAAGUGGACUCACCUGUUACACAGAAAAAUACCAUUGAUAUUGACGUAUAGGAUCAAAAAUUGGAUGCGAAAAAACGCAGUUUGGAUGGAAAUGGGAGAAUCUAAUGGCUAUUGGUGAAAACGGUGAUAGCACUUCGUUUAGUAAGCAUACACGCGCCAGUGUAUUUUCUAUAGUUAAACACGGGUCACUCUUUUAGAUCUGGUAAGCAUUGCAUCGUUGAUGGGUUUUUUGUUUUUCUAAUGAGAGUUAAACGGACAGCACCAAUCAGGUGUGGGAAUACCUCUGGUAAUAAUAUCGUUGCUAGUAUAGGAGCUGCUCUAAUGAAUUUCAUCGAUGUAACGAAUAAAAAAAAAUGAAACUAUCAA